CUUCACCGACCCCAGCCACAACGGCCGCUCCGCCGGCCGAUCGUGGCCGUAGGUCGCCAGCAACGCCUGCGCCUC
rnacentral:antisense_RNA from 1 species